AGUCUUCUACCUCCACUUUCGCGACGGUGUUGCUUCUGACAAGCCUCGCCUCGCCGACGCUGAGAGCCGUGAUGGGGCCAACAACAAAAAGGCGAUGGAACAAAACAAAAGUGCUGUAAACAUGGUUGUCGCUGUGGAGCACCAGAAGCAUCAGGAAUCGUUGGUCUUGGAGGUCUGACAAGACUACUGGCCAAGCUUGGAAUGAUAGAGUGGAGGAGGGAUAAGAGGAGGAGGAGAAGGGAGAGGAGAGGAGGAAGAGGAGGAGGCUGUGGAAGCGCUCACUGUUGGAUGCGACGCAGAGACUGGACAUGGAAAGUCUGAGCGUGGGAGCCCCACUCCCUGUAGUUUUUGUACUCUACGCCAUGACGGUCGCACUCCAAGAUGUACUGGUAGCCGCAGUAACUGGGGAACUGGUAGCACACCCAGCUAAAAGAGGAGAGGGGAGAAAAUAUCCCGUAACAAGCCCCAGCCCUUAAUCUAGGCACUUGUAGAUCAGAAAGAGUUGGCCUCUACAGUACAUGUUAGUCACCUGUAUAAUAUCCAGGGACACCAUAUAAUAGCUCAUUGUUUCAAAUGUUUCACCAUAGUGUCCCUUUACACAUUUGACAGAGGUCAGUAAGGUCACAGGACACUCAUUUAGAUAAUUCAUCAUUUCAGUCCUGAAAUUGGGUUUUACUUAGUUCUAUUGUGAUCAAUGACAGAAAUGAUUAUCCUGUCACAGUUUAUCUAGUAGAUCAGACUCACCACCUGGCCAGAACACUGUUGAAGGGGAAAGGACUGAAAAGUAAUUGUAACGCUCGUCUAAUGCCUCCUCCUCGGACGAGGAGGAGGAGUAAGGGUCGGGCCAAAAUGCAGCGUAGGUUGAAUCCAUAAUGAUUUAUUAUAACAAGACGAAACACGAUGAACACUUGAAUAAACUCAAAACAACGUAGACAGACCUGAACAUGUGAACUUACAUAAACACGAAGAAUGCACGAACAGGAACAGACUACAUACACGAACGAAAACGAAACAGUCCCGUGUGGUGCGACAUAUACAGACACGGAAAACAAUCACCCACAAACAAACAAUGUGAACAGCCUACCUUUAUAUGGUUCUCAAUCAGAGGAAACGUCAAACGCCUGUCCCUGAUUGAGAACCAUAUAAGGCUAAUUACCAAUGAACCUAAACAUAGAAACACAUAACAUAGACUACCCACCCAGCUCACGUCCUGACCAACUAAACAAAGUAAAACAAAGGCAAAUAAGGUCAGGAACGUGACAUUAAUGAAGUUGCUUUAUAUACAUGUAUAUACAUUUCACAGACUUUAUAUAGACUUUGUAGCUUUACAAUAGUGGCUUGUGUUAUAUUUUAUAUUUAACUAUUCUGUGCUAUUCUUACUGCAUACUGCACUUUUUUGCAGUUUGUCCAAGUUUUGCGACCACUAGACUCAAUUGAUUCUUCUAUUUCUGAUUGUUAUGAGCAUAAUCUUCUGUAGUGUGAAAAAGGAAGCCAGGACUUUUACUCAUUUUACUUACAUUCUGUUCUGGACCUGCAUGGAUCCGAUCUCGUUGUUGCCCCAGCCCAUGGCCUGCAGGGAGGGGUAGUCAUCGUUCAUCUCCCACUGUUUGCCAAUUAAAUUCUCCCUUUCCAACACCACAA